GGCUACACACGUGCUACAAUGGACGGUACAAAGAGCUGCAAGACCGCGAGGUGGAGCUAAUCUCAUAAAACCGUUCUCAGUUCGGAUUGUAGGCUGCAACUCGCCUACAUGAAGCUGGAAUCGCUAGUAAUCGCGGAUCAGCAUGCCGCGGUGAAUACGUUCCCGGGCCUUGUACACACCGCCCGUCACACCACGAGAGUUUGUAACACCCGAAGUCGGUGGGGUAACCUUUUGGAGCCAGCCGCCUAAGGUGGGACAGAUGAUUGGGGUGAAGUCGUAACAAGGUAGCCGUAUCGGAAGGUGCGGUUGGAUCACCU
rnacentral:rRNA from 1 species